rnacentral:rRNA from 1 species
GCGUGGCGGGCGGUGCUAUACAUGCAAGUAGAACGCUGAAGAGAGGAGCUUGCUCUUCUUGGAUGAGUUGCGAACGGGUGAGUAACGCGUAGGUAACCUGCCUUGUAGCGGGGGAUAACUAUUGGAAACGAUAGCUAAUACCGCAUAACAAUGGAUGACACAUGUCAUUUAUUUGAAAGGGGCAAUUGCUCCACUACAAGAUGGACCUGCGUUGUAUUAGCUAGUAGGUGAGGUAAUGGCUCACCUAGGCGACGAUACAUAGCCGACCUGAGAGGGUGAUCGGCCACACUGGGACUGAGACACGGCCCAGACUCCUACGGGAGGCAGCAGUAGGGAAUCUUCGGCAAUGGGGGCAACCCUGACCGAGCAACGCCGCGUGAGUGAAGAAGGUUUUCGGAUCGUAAAGCUCUGUUGUAAGUCAAGAACGGGUGUGAGAGUGGAAAGUUCACACUGUGACGGUAGCUUACCAGAAAGGGACGGCUAACUACGUGCCAGCAGCCGCGGUAAUACGUAGGUCCCGAGCGUUGUCCGGAUUUAUUGGGCGUAAAGCGAGCGCAGGCGGUUUGAUAAGUCUGAAGUUAAAGGCUGUGGCUCAACCAUAGUUCGCUUUGGAAACUGUCAAACUUGAGUGCAGAAGGGGAGAGUGGAAUUCCAUGUGUAGCGGUGAAAUGCGUAGAUAUAUGGAGGAACACCGGUGGCGAAAGCGGCUCUCUGGUCUGUAACUGACGCUGAGGCUCGAAAGCGUGGGGAGCGAACAGGAUUAGAUACCCUGGUAGUCCACGCCGUAAACGAUGAGUGCUAGGUGUUGGAUCCUUUCCGGGAUUCAGUGCCGCAGCUAACGCAUUAAGCACUCCGCCUGGGGAGUACGACCGCAAGGUUGAAACUCAAAGGAAUUGACGGGGGCCCGCACAAGCGGUGGAGCAUGUGGUUUAAUUCGAAGCAACGCGAAGAACCUUACCAGGUCUUGACAUCCCGAUGCUAUUUCUAGAGAUAGAAAGUUACUUCGGUACAUCGGUGACAGGUGGUGCAUGGUUGUCGUCAGCUCGUGUCGUGAGAUGUUGGGUUAAGUCCCGCAACGAGCGCAACCCCUAUUGUUAGUUGCCAUCAUUCAGUUGGGCACUCUAGCGAGACUGCCGGUAAUAAACCGGAGGAAGGUGGGGAUGACGUCAAAUCAUCAUGCCCCUUAUGACCUGGGCUACACACGUGCUACAAUGGUUGGUACAACGAGUUGCGAGUCGGUGACGGCGAGCUAAUCUCUUAAAGCCAAUCUCAGUUCGGAUUGUAGGCUGCAACUCGCCUACAUGAAGUCGGAAUCGCUAGUAAUCGCGGAUCAGCACGCCGCGGUGAAUACGUUCCCGGGCCUUGUACACACCGCCCGUCACACCACGAGAGUUUGUAACACCCGAAGUCGGUGAGGUAACCUUUGGAGCCAGCCGCAUAAAGGUGAACAAAAGC